GACUGGAACAGUUUGCCCAGAGAAGCUGUGGAGUCUUCCUCUGGUGAUAUUCCAGAACCAUCUGGACACACUCCCGUGCCCUGGGGUGACCCUGCUUGAACAGGAGGUUGGACCAGGGGAGAAAAAAAGAGCGAAGAGUCCUAAAACCUGAGCUGCAGUAAACAAGACAGAAGCCACACAAGGCAGUUUCAUUGCUUUAAUAACUUAAAGAGCAGAUUUGAUAUUUACAGUUAAGGGAAAGGCAGGUGAUUGCAAUUGAAGUAGAACGUGAAAAAGCCCACCAGAAGAGGUACUGCAGGGAAUACUGAAGAACCUACAUCCAGGAUUGCCCUGUCCCUUGCAGAAUCCAACACAUGCCCUGGUUGAACUUCAUAUUGUUGGUGAUUGCCCAGCCCUCUGAUUUAUCUGGGUCUCUGCAGGGCCUCUCUUCCCUCAGGGGACUCAGCAACUCCUCCCAAUUUAGUGUCCUUGGUAAACUUACUUAGUAUCCUUCCAGUCGUGUAUCCAAGUCAUUUAUGAGGAUGUUGAAGAGCACAGGGCUGAGGCUGGGGCCCUGUGGAACCCCACGACUGACAGGACACCAGGCUGGUGUAACCCCAUCCACUUUGUGCUGACCCAAUUGCUCACCCAUCCCAUGAUGUGUUUAUCCAGCUGCGUGCUGCACAUUUUGUCCAGAAGGAUCCUGGGAGUGACCGUAUUGAAAGUUUUACUGAAGUCCGAAAGGAUUACAUAACUGGCUCAUUAACAUUUUAAAUUAGAUCUAUUUAUAGGACUAAUAAAACUGAAAAGCUUUUAGAUUCAGAAAACCUUCAAAGGUAGGUAUUUGCAAAAGUAUGAAGUCAAAGUGUCCUAUGUUUUUAUGGCUUUUUGCUUGCAGCAGAAGCCUGGAGUACUGUGUUAAGGGGCAUUAAAUCUGAUAUUGCUGGCAGAGCAUCAACAUUCCAAUAACAAAAGAAGGUCUGGUGGGUCUGUUAAAGCUGGUAUCAGAGAUCCAGGCUGAUAUCCAAGUGCUGAGUCAUUGAGUCGGAAUAGACAUUGCUAUGAAAGAUUCUUAAUUGUUUAAGAACUUUCAACUCUCCUCUGGGAACACGAGGGAAAGGUCUGGUCACUUCACCUAACUUCAGCUAUCUCAAGCAUCCAGUUUGAGGCCAUUGACUGUGAAGAGAGAGAGGAGAAGAGGGCACCUGCAGGGCACAGUUCAUUCCACCCUCUUUGGAGAUGUUUCAGUAAAGAAGGAACCGCCUGCCAGAGCUCUGUCCCAGGGCUGCCUUUGCUCCCCAAGUGCCUCAACAGCCACCUUGCAGAUGCCUGAAGUCAAGGGACAUGAAUUCAGGCCUAACUGGUAGCUAUAACCUAAUGAUGGAAAUAAUGUGGCAGCAUUCCAGGAGGUAUUAGCAAUUCACAUAGUUCCCAGAUUCUUUUUUUUAACCAUCUUUUAUGAUUUAUGGAGGUCAAUUAUAUAAAGCCCAUCAGAACACAAGAAAUGCUUAAAAAUGCUGCAUUAGAGACACAUUAAUAUUAGUCCUCCUGAGGUGGUAAUGGCUGUAGCCUUCCUGGCCCUGCUGCUCUGCCCUGCUGCUUAAUGCAUCCAGUUUUUCUAUUUACAGAUUUACAGAUUCUAUUUUUGGUGUUAACAAAGAAUAUGAGCAUAUGUAUCAAACACUGUUCUCACAUCUAAUUAUAGUACUGCUGGCAAAGUAAUUCUGGAAAGUGCCACUUAAUUAAAUAUAAGCAUUAACUUUUUGCUGAUAGCUUAUCAGAAACAAUUAGACUUGAAAUGUGGGAAAUACACCUAGAGUUUAGAACUUUCAGGAGAAGCAUUAAAAGCACAAAAUAACCUAUUUUCACUUGCAUUCUCCAGUGUCUUCCUGCUGAGCACAACCUCGGUUUUCAUCACUACAGUGUGUCUUUAGGUAAUGUAGAGGCUGCAAGUUUAUCUGGACUCCUUUUUGUGUGCAAAAGCCUGAGCUAAGUGGAUGCUUUUAGAAGGGGUUAAACCACUUUAGUAUAGUUUAUGUUUUUGCCAAUUCCUCCUGAAAUACCAGAUAUAUUCUGCUGAUUACUCGGGGUCUGCACACAACAACCCAGGAACUACUGGGGACAGUCAGACGAUCUCACAGCUUAUGCCAAGUGCUUAUUCUUUGCAAGGACAGCUUGAUCAGCAUUUAUAUUCAUUAACUUGAUCAGGGAUAUGCUUUUUUGUCUGUGUGACAAUGCCAAAUAUUAGUUAAUUCUAUGUAAUUUUUCAUCAAUAGCCAGAUAGAUCUACCAGAUAAUUAUACCUAAAAUAUCUCUGCAGAACUUUGAGCUCUGCUGCUGUUUGCCUGAAAGUGAAGAGGGGAACAAAGAAAAACAGAGCUGUAAUGAAAAUAAUUAUUCUUAAGUAAAAAUACAAGGGCUAGAAGGAAAUAAUUCCUUCAGGUUUGUUUGACAAUAUACAACAAAACUACAUAGCAACUGAGGAGAGACGCUUUUCCCAGGUCUAACAUUUGGGCAAGCAGCAGUAGCAGGAGGAUCUGAAAUAACACCAUCUGGUGAAUGCCUGCUUCUUUCUUCAGCAGUCAAGAACUAUGUGUAACUAUAAACAAAGAAUAAAAUAGAAAUAACGCAAAACUACUUUUCAGUUAAAUGUUACACAGAAUGAACAAACAGCUGCUCUGGGAAUGCAGAAAAGAAUGAUGUUAAAUAUAGUAGGAAAUUUGAGCACACUGCUCCUAUAAAUACAUGAACCAAAGAGAAUGUAGGAUUCUGCAGAGCUGUGGACAGGGAAACUUAGUUCCAGGCUGGAGAGAACUAUUCUGGCAAUAAAUGUAGCAAUGAUUUAACCAUCACACAAGAAGAGCUGAUUCCUUGACAGUGUGAAAUCAAGCUGCAGGACAUCUGUGCCUGCCUUUAUGUCCCAUUUUUUGUCAGUCAGAAUUCCCAUGUUUCUCCUGUUUGACUGUCUGGUAUGCUUUGCUGAACUCUGGGCUACUUGACCUUCAGAAGACAGUCAAAAUACAGGAGUUUGCACAAGAGCUUGCACUUGGGUGUUUGACACUGUUUGUGGCAGAAGCAAAUAUACAAAUAGGUGAUUCAAUGUUUAGCAUCCUAUCUAUAAACAAAUUGUGAAAAUAAUUCAGAGCUCUGUUUUUACCAAGUCCGCUAUUUUGCAUUGAUAAGAGAUUUGCAAAAUCCUUGGAAAGUCAAAGCAGCACUGGAAGCUGAAAAAGCAAAUCCACAAAAUCUUAAAUCCAACCCUUCCUGGUAAAUACCACUGAUUAACAACCACAGGAAUAGGACAAGGAAGAGAUUUACUGCCCCUUAACUCAGUCCCCAGUCACAUCAAAGUCCACAAAAAGUAUUUUGAAGAUGCUACUGGGUUCACUAACAAGUGAGGCAGAAAGAUGAUGAAGGUUUUGGAGGCUGUGUCAUAUAAGGAGAGGCUGAGGAGAAGCUGAAGCAAAUAUGCUGCUAUUUCUAAGCAUUCAGAAAUAAAAUAUGCACAAUACUAUCUAAAUAUUAAAGUAGAACUAAAAGUGUAUUUAGCAAUGAGAAUAAUAAAUAAGCAAAGUGAAGCAGAUAAGUCUGAUUAUCAAAGGAGAUAAAAACUAAAUUGCACCUUCAAAGGGGCUGAUGUGCUAGAAUUCCAGAAGUAGCUGAACAAGAAAUUUUUGUGUUUGCUGACAGAGUAGCAUUCUUCACUAUAAAUUACAGCUUAGACUUCUAUCCAUGGAGUUUUUCUUUCCAAAGAUUCUGAAGAAGUUUUUACAAAGCAGAGCAAGUACAUUAUUUGAAAGACCCCUGAAAGGUAUGAACCAUCCCAAAGCACCAGAACCACAGGAAUGUUUAGAUUGGAAAAGACCUCGGUGAUGCUUGAGUCCAGCCAUUAACCCAGCACUGCCAAUCCCACCACUGAACCAAGUCCCUCAGUGACACAUGUCCAGGAAUUUUAAAUCCCUCGGGAAUUGUGACUCCAUCACUGCCAUGGUUGCCAGUUCCAACAGUAUUAACUUCAAGACCAACAAGCAGUUAAUGUUAGAUUCUUUUAGAACAUACUCAGUACUACCAGUUUUUAACAAGAGGAUGCCCAAUUUACUGCACAAAAUAAAAAAGUGUUUCUGCAGAAUUUCAAGAAAACUCAAAUUAUUUUAUUCACAAAAGAGAAGUCAAUAAAAAUAUAGAUACCCUGAUCAGUUUUACAGACCAUGUUCAUUUCUUCUCUCCACUGACAGGCAAAAGCAUUCAUGGGAAAAAAAAAAGGUAACAAGCAGUUACAUCACAAACCAUUAUUAACACAGAUUCAUGUAUAUGAGCAAAUAUUACAGGUCCAACAAACAUUUCUCUUUUGUUUUUUCCUUUUUUUUUCUGUGCUGUACUAUUUUCCACUGCUGUUAAGAGUAUGUGCUGUCUCACUGUUAUUUAACUAAUAGUUUUAGUAGAAACUGUAAUGUAUGAACUCACUGCUUUCAAAGUGUUUUCUCUGAAUUCCAAACCCCUUUAUGGGACUAAAUGAGGACGUUUGUGCUAUAUUACUCAAGUAAUGCAAAAAAAAAAAAAAAGUCAACAUUGCUACUAAUAGCAUCAGGAAGCUCGUUUUUUAUUAUUUUUAUGGAGCACCUCCUCAAAAAAUACCUGAAGAUAUCCUUCUUAUUCAAAUCAAACUUCUGUCAGCUCAGUGUUUAUGCAUGAAACUCUAGGGAAAUCUUUCCUCUUUUGAAGAUAUAUAAAUGUUCCCUAGAAAUCAGUUUUGUGACACUUAUACAAGUCUGGCUUUCAGGACCAUGAAGGAAGACAACAGACAUUAAGGACAAUUACUCCUGGUUUUGUUUACUGUGCUUUUUUUUUUUUUUUUCCACCAUUCAUUAUAUCCAUUGAUAUAAUGAAUAUCCAUUUCAUUAUAUAGAUUUAAGAGGACUGAAGCCCCAUCUGAAAAACUCUCAUUGAAAUAAAGAGACCAAGUGCUAAUUUUAUUUCUUUAUUCCACUUUUAAUGCCUUUGAACUUUGUAGAGAUGAAAAAUUUGUGAACUCUUCCACUAUACAGACCUUGACAAAAACAUUUGUAGAACAGGUUACAAAAUUACAAACCCAAACUUACUUGAAAACAAAAACCAAUCAGAAAAUGCUUGCUUUUUCAAAAAGCAAGUACUGAACCAGGAGGAAGAAACACUGUAGUACAGAAACUUACUUUAAGGAUGGGUUGUCUUGCACAGAAACCAACCCCAAACUCAUAAUGAUUACUGCUAUAAUUCUGAUGAUCAAAUAAUAUUUCAGGUUGCUUGCAUGUAGAUUGCUCCUGCCUCUGCCUACCUAAACUUUGGGAGCAUCACCACUGGGGGACAAAGCUCUUUUCUUUUAAAAUCCAGAAAAUCCAGUUUCAUAUAGAAACAAUCUUGCUACAUAAGUGCUACAAGAGAUCAUUUUGACCCCCCUGCCCCUCAGGACAUGACUUUGUUAUCUCUCGCACCUUUAGCUCCUCUUCCCUAAAAUAUCCAGCAAUAGAUCAUUGAAAAGCAGGUGCCCCUACUUCAUCCUCUCUGCAAGCAGCUGGCAGAGCUGGAAGCACUGGUUGCCAAAGGAAAGCCCCACUCUCCUCUCACUGCAGCCUGGAUUCUGAAGGUGGUGAAGAUGCACAGACUCCAACCUGUGCACAGCGACAUUGGAGCUACAACUGCUCUGAUGCUCUGCCUGUGCCAGAGAGUCACUCCAUGUACAGGAUACACAGCACCACGUGCUGCAGAACGAAGAAAUAAAUCAUCAGAGUAUUGUCAGCAAACUCAAGUCUUCUCCUGGAGGUCCUGCAGCUCUGGGAUUCCUGCAAUUCGGCUCUGUGCAAGCUACACUUCCCCCAGCCUACCCUCCCUGUGGCACCCGCUGCUUUCCUGGCCACAGACAGCAAUAGUGGGCACUGGCUCCUUUUCAAAAGCACAAAGUGGACGUCACCAGUCACCAGUACUUGGCAUGACUCCAACACAAUCUUCAAAAUACAAAUAUUUAA